rnacentral:rRNA from 1 species
UACGUAGGUCGCAAGCGUUGUCCGGAUUUACUGGGCGUAAAGAGCGCGCAGGCGGCUGGUCAAGUCCGAUGUGAAAUCUCCCGGCUCAACUGGGAAACUGCAUCGGAAACUGAUCGGCUUGAAGAUGGGAGAGGGUAGUGGAAUUCCCGGUGUAGUGGUGAAAUGCGCAGAUAUCAGGAAGAACACCGAUGGCGAAAGCAGCUCUCUGGGACGGUACUGACGCUGAGGCGCGAAAGCGUGGGGAGCGAACAGG